rnacentral:rRNA from 1 species
UACGUAGGGGGCGAGCGUUGUCCGGAUUUAUUGGGCGUAAAGAGCUCGUAGGCGGUUUGGUAAGUUGGAUGUGAAAUCUCCAGGCUCAACUUUGGAGGGGUCAUUCGAUACUGCCAUGACUAGAGUUCGGUAGGGGAGUGUGGAAUUCCUGGUGGAGCGGUGAAAUGCGCAGAUAUCAGGAGGAACACCCGUAGCGAAGGCGGCACUCUGGGCCGGAACUGACGCUGAGGAGCGAAAAGCGUGGGGAGCGAACAGGG